rnacentral:rRNA from 1 species
GCCUGAUGCAGCGACGCCGCGUGAGGGAUGAAGGCCUUCGGGUUGUAAACCUCUUUCAGUAGGGAAGAAGCGAAAGUGACGGUACCUGCAGAAGAAGCGCCGGCUAACUACGUGCCAGCAGCCGCGGUAAUACGUAGGGCGCAAGCGUUAUCCGGAAUUAUUGGGCGUAAAGAGCUCGUAGGCGGUUUGUCGCGUCUGCCGUGAAAGUCCGGGGCUUAACUCCGGAUCUGCGGUGGGUACGGGCAGACUUGAGUGAUGUAGGGGAGACUGGAAUUCCUGGUGUAGCGGUGAAAUGCGCAGAUAUCAGGAGGAACACCGAUGGCGAAGGCAGGUCUCUGGGCAUUAACUGACGCUGAGGAGCGAAAGCAUGGGGAGCGAACAGGAUUAGAUACCCUGGUAGUCCAUGCCGUAAACGUUGGGCACUAGGUGUGGGGGACAUUCCACGUUUUCCGCGCCGUAGCUAACGCAUUAAGUGCCCCGCCUGGGGAGUACGGCCGCAAGGCUAAAACUCAAAGGAAUUGACGGGGGCCCGCACAAGCGGCGGAGCAUGCGGAUUAAUUCGAUGCAACGCGAAGAACCUUACCAAGGCUUGACAUGAACCGGAACGGCGCAGAGAUGUGUCGGCCACUUGUGGCCGGUUUACAGGUGGUGCAUGGUUGUCGUCAGCUCGUGUCGUGAGAUGUUGGGUUAAGUCCCGCAACGAGCGCAACCCUCGUUCCAUGUUGCCAGCGGGUUAUGCCGGGGACUCAUGGGAGACUGCCGGGGUCAACUCGGAGGAAGGUGGGGACGACGUCAAAUCAUCAUGCCCCUUAUGUCUUGGGCUUCACGCAUGCUACAAUGGCCGGUACAAAGGGUUGCGAUGCUGUGAGGUGGAGCUAAUCCCAAAAAGCCGGUCUCAGUUCGGAUUGAGGUCUGCAACUCGACCUCAUGAAGUCGGAGUCGCUAGUAAUCGCAGAUCAGCAACGCUGCGGUGAAUACGUUCCCGGGCCUUGUA